CUGAAACGACUGCACCCUUUUUGUGCUAAACACCUCGAGAACGCAGAUCUUGCGUACCUCCCUCCAGUAGUCGCCGUAUGGCGCAAAAGAUAUGUCUCGGUGAUUGUAUGAGAAUUUUCCAAGUCCAACUAAGGGAGGUCGACUGCAACAAUCAAUAUCAUGAGUUUUCAAGAAUUCCCUUGCAGCUUCCGCAGAGGAGACUACGACGGUAGGGACACCAAGCUGAAGGAGCAUGAUGGAGCCAUAUUUCUUAGAUAGUUGCCAUAAAGAGUAGUGAGGCAACGCACCAAGUUGGUGCAAAUUACCUAUAAUGGGAAGCUUAGUAGGGCCAGGAGGCAGCGGCUUCUUUUGCCCCUUCAACUCUAUUUUCCGUUUUAUGAGAAACAUAAGAGGGAGAAGUAGCAGAAGCAGAUGAAGCCAGAUUGAUGGAGAAUAGAGCGCCAUUGGAGCUUGCUCGCUCUAUGAAUCUUGGGUGGGAUGUACUUAGGAUACACAUACAUCAUCGGCUUCAACCCCAAUUCCAACUUCUACCACUAUUUUGUCCUAGCAGGCCUUCCAAUUAUCGUUUCCCCUUUUUUAUUCUAUAGCAUUACAUGCCACGUUUCGCAACGACAAGCACAGAUUUGUCUUUUCUUUCUUUCUUUCUUUACCACAAAUUUUGUGAAGUGAUACAAAGCAAGAAAAAAUAUAUUUUCUUUAUAAAACAAUUUUUUUUUUUUUGUCUACAAAUGUCCCCAUUCCAAGUCAUAACAUGCGGAUACAUUCUCAUGUAUACGAGGGCAUAUACAUACAUUUCCAUGUGCACGGAGCCGAUCUUGAAGCUAACUUUCAUUUUUUUAUUUUUUUUAAAACAAAUAUUUUAAUAAGAAGUUUCCAAUUUUAAAAUAUCUUUCCCAUUUUUUUUCAAACCCUAUUUUGUUUUUUUCCUUUUUUUCUCACUUGAUAUACCUUGUAUUAACCCAAAGUUUCAUUGGAACAUUCUCUCAAAUAUAUAGAUAAUUUUUGUCCAUCCCGAGAUCCAUUGAAUCCAAAGUAAAUUAUAAAUUAUUUUUAUAUAUUUAAUAACAUAAUAUAAAUUUUUUUUAUUAAUUUAUAAAACUUAAAUAUUUUAAUCAUGAAUAUUAUUAAAUAUUAGAAAAUUUUUAAUUUUUUAAAUAAAAAAUAUUAAAAUAUGGUAUAAUUUUUAUUUCAAAUAUUAAAAAUAAUAUGUGUUUUAUAUAUAUAUCAUUCAAUAUAUUUCAGGAUAUCAAUAUGAUAUCCUUGGAUAUACAUAUUUUAUCCUUAUCUAUUCAAUUUUGUCAACCAAAUAUAACCUAAAUUAAUGAGAAGUAAUUUAUUGAAAAUCUAUAACAAGCACAAUUUAACAUCCAUGAAGAUCUACAGGACUUCUUGAGUGAAACUUAUAAAUCCGGAGUUGAGAUGUCAAUUCUAGUGGCUAGAGCAUUGUUCAAUUUUAUAUGACCAGAUGAUAAAGAAAUUAAGGCAAAAAAUGCAAAUGAAGUUGUUUCAUGAGGAUGAACUUUGCAUAGAUUGCAAUGUCAAAUCUCAGAUCCUUUUUCAUUCAAUAAGGAAAACGAAAACAUAAAUGUAUGAGACGUGGACGGCACUCCCAACACUUACCUAAUAAAGAGUUCUCUUUUAGUGGCCCCAUUUCAAAUGUCGUGCUUCAUUUUACUUCAUCCAUAUAAACCAACAAACAUUUUGUUGUUUUCAGUGGUUAUGUCACGCACCAAAGCCAACUAGGGCCCAAGAUUUCACUAGAAUCUUAGCAACACAAGCAUCAUGCCACUCAAUAUUGCAGUAACACUCCCAGGAAUAGGGGCUAAUGGGCCCCUAAUUAAAAUCAUUCAAGCUACAAUGCAUCCAUGACCUCUAAAAGCUUUCACAUUUUUCUCUCAAUUUGCUUUUCCAUAUAUAUGCAAUAAGGCAACUUUCAAAAAAUCAAAGGGUAACUAUUUCUUAUCUUUAUUUGCAAAAGCAAUGAUUGAUAUCACUUUUUAUUUAGGACUAAGGAGAUUGUUUGCGGCUCACCAUGAGGAUUGCUUUAAUAUGAUCUUUAUUUAGCUUAAUCGCACCAAAUUUAGGGUGUUCGAUCCCUUUCUGUUUGCAGCAGCACAUCAAUGAAAUUUUCAUGUUCCUCUUUCACAGCUUAUUAAAUUGAGAUCAUGGAGUCCAAUCACCUGCUAAUAGAAACCAAUGAGGAAAAUGUCGGGAUAUAUCAGUGAUAUAUCGUGUAUCGGGAGGGGUUGAUACGAUAUUUCGUAGAGAAAAAUCAGAGGGGAGAUAUUUCCGUAAAUAUCGCCAAAAUAUCGGCGAUAUAUUGGCUCGAGGAGAUAUAUAGGAGAUUUUAAAAAAAAAAAUCACCUCUGGUGGCAAAAUAUCGGCAAAAUAUUGAUGAUAUAUCAGAGAUAAAUCGUCAAUUUUUUUGCAAUAUUUCCCCUCUUUCAUACAACGUGAUCAAACGGCCCAAAUCACGCCCGUGUUGAUAUGACGGCCUAGAUGUGAUUCCAAUGGUAAUAUGGCGAUCCAACGGCCAGAUUGCUCCCAGCUUUUUAUCCAACAGCCAAAAUUGAUUUUCAACGAUAAAUUAAUGUUCCAACGGCUAUUUUGGCCCAAAUUUUUUCUAUAAAUAGCCCAAAUUUAAUCUAUUUCAUCCAUUUUUGCUUUCAUUCUUCAUUUGCUCUCUCAUUACUCCAAUUUUUAUUAAGGUUGCUCAAUUAUUUAAUCAUUUUAAGGUAUAUUUGUUUUAAAUUGUAAUUAAUUUUGUUUGCAAUUAUAAUUAAUUCAUGUAUUUUCAAUUAAUUACUAUGUUUGUAAUAUGGAUGAAUUAAUACUAUUUUUACAUUCAAUUGUAAUUAAUUUUUAUAUUUUUAUUGAAUUAACUUAGGUUAAUUUGAUUAUUUAAUUAUAAAUUGAUAUGUUUAUUUUAGAUGAUUAUUUGUGAUUUAUUUUCACAUUUAGAAUUAAAUUAAACUAGUUAACUUUGCUAAAUUAUUUAAUUAAUUUAAUUAACAUGAACUACUAUAUUUUGAAUAUGAAAUAUGUUUAUUUAAUGAAUUUAAUGUGUAAAAAUUAUUGAUAUUUAAUUAAAUGAAGUAUUUUAUGUGACUUUAUAAUGAGAACAAUUAUAAAAUUAACAUUUCUUAUAGAUCGACAUGAUAUAAUUACAUCUAAUAUCGCAAAUUAUAUCAUAUGUAUAUCAAAUUUUUUAAUAAAACAACUUUAAAAUGUCCAUUAUACUUAUAAUUAUAUUAUUAUGAGGUUUUCCUUGCAUUUCCAUGAGUUUUUAACAAUUUUAAGCCUAUCAAUAUUUUUUUCCAGAAUAUCCGUGAUUACCGAUAUUUUCAUCCUUGGUAGAAACCAUCCAAUUCAUAGUAUGUCCUCUCGAGCCACCCAUAAAGACGAGUGAGCCUAAUCCACAAAGAUUGUCUAAAGCAUUGAAAAGUAUAGAAGUUCUAAAGAGAAACAUGCAUUGUAUAGAAAGUACAUGAUUUUAGUAUGCUAUACGUGGAUAAUAAGGUACUUUGUAAGGUUGCAAAAGAUGAUACAAUUGUUUAUGGUUCAAGUUAAAAAGUCUAUAUUAUAAAGUUUCUUAUAAAUGUCUUGUAUUUAAAUAGGUAAUUAUUUUCCAUCUAAAUGAAAGAAAAUAUAUCUGUUAAUGACUACUUUGAUGAGUUUGAUAGAACCAUGAGAGACAUAAGAAAUAUUAUGUCAAAAUUAUUGAUAAAGAUAAGUAAUAAUUUUGAUGUGUUCCCUUCCAAGUUUUUAUAAGAACCUUGUGAAUACCGUAAUAUCUUAUAGAAAUAAUCAUUCCAUAAAGGAGAUGGGGAUAUAAUUAAAUAUAAGGGAGUUUAAGAAUUAAAUGUCUAAGAAUAGAAAAAAGAAAAAAAAAACCUCAUAAAAAUAUCAAUUGGCUAGAAGGUAAAUAGGGAAAAAAAAAAAAAAAACCUUAAGCAAGAUAGGUCGAGAUCUAUAUCAAACUUCAAGGAAAAACCAAGCAUUUCAAUUACAACAAGAAAGAACGUAAUGAGAGGAAUGGUCUAGAAUGUAAAAGAAAGGCAAAAGAGAAAAUUGUUCUUUUAUGAUAUUGUAGCGGCCAAGGAAAUUCCAUGUUAUAUCCCUUUGUAGUUUUUGUAAGUGACUCAAAUAAUGAAUGAAUCCUUGAUAUAGGGUAAUCUUACCAUUUAACUUUGAGUGGAUACCCAUCAAUUUGAUGGUAGGAAAAUUAUUAUGAGAAAUACUACAACUUACAAGAUUGUUAGGAUAUGCACAAUUCAAAUUAAGAUUCUUAAUGAUAUUUUGGAUGAUACUAAUUGAUGUACAAUAUAUUCCAAUGUUGAAAAAAAGCUGAUUUCUUUUGAUACUUUUCAUUCUAAAAAGGUGCAUAUACAAAGGUAGAAGUGGACUAGGGAGAAUAUUGAAGGGUGCUCUUUUCAUAAUGAGAGGACAAAAAGUUAAUAAUUCUCAUACAUUACAAGACAACAUAGUUAUAGGUCCAAUUAUAUACACAAUAAGGUGGGACUAUUUUGAGCAAAGUGGAUUCACUUGAUAAAAAGAUAUUAGAGAGUGAGUAAUAAAAGUAAAUCCUUUUGAAAAAAAAUCUAAAUGUAGAUUUGUUUUGAAAAUAUUCACAAAAAUAGUGUUAGCUUUAGAAUUAAGGUCAUAGUAAACUGUGAAACCAAGGUGUGAUUAAUCUUGAUUUUGAUAAUAACAAAAUAAGGUUUAGAACUAAUGAUCAUAUUUCAAGUGUGAUUAGGCAAGACGAUUUCCAAAGUGACAAUCACAAAGACAAAUCAAGCCAAAGAGAAAUCAUGAAGAAGAAUACCACCUCAAAGAGAAGAGUUUUUCAAGACCAAAGCUUCAUAAGAUCUCUUUGUAAGGUUGUUGGUGCACUAAGACUUUCAUGCAUUUCAUUAUUUAUUUAUGUACUAAAAUUAUCCAAGAGUAAUAUUGUUUUAAAUAUCUUAAGAAUUGGAUGAUUUCAUGUUUUCAACUAAAACCUUGUGUUAAAUGAUUUUCAAACUUGUGUUAAAAGGUUUUAAGUUGAAAAAGGUUAGGUGUUGAGCCAAAAAAAUGGCUCGACCGGUUGUGCUCAUUCGGUCGAGGACCGGUUAAGGGAGGCCAAAAAGUUUCUCUCUCUCCCAGUGGCCUUCUCUUCCCGAUCAAGGUUGAACCUCAACCGGUUGAGGUCCGGUCGAGGUCAUGUUGAGGUCCGGUUGAGGCCCAACAGUCACUUACCAAGCAUUAAAUGCUAACGGCUAGUCAACCGGUCGACUCCUACCUCGACCAAUCGAACCCCCAACGGCUAGUUUGGUUUUUUUCUUCUAUAAAAAUGCUCUAAUCUUCAUUGUUUCAUGAGUUUAACCUUCCCAAAUCUUUCUUGAUUAUAUUUGAGCCUUGGAAGAGUAUUUUUGAGUGCACCAUUAUUUCAAAACUUGCAUAUCUUUAGUGCACCAUUCAAUCCUAAUUUUUCUUGUAUCAUUUGAACUUAAAGUUCUUGUGCUAAGAUUUUUGAAAGAUCAUUCAUUUGUAAAUCUUUAAAAGGAAGUUUCUCAAGUGUGAGGUAUCACUUGAGGGGUUGUUCAAGAGUGGGAUAUCUCUUGAGAAGUGUAAAGGGUGCUUGGAGCCAAAAAUCCAAGAGGGUGAAUUGGAACCAUAAUCCAAUUGUAUUGCUUGAAGGCUUGGUUUGGAAGCCUUGGAUUAGUAGAACCUCAAGCUCGGGAUUGAAGCUAAACGAGAGUGGAUAUAGGCCGGGUUGCACCGAACCACUAUAAACUCUUGUGUUUGCAUUCUCUCUUCACUACUCUUUAAUUUAUAUGCAAUUGUCUAUAUAUUGAUUAUUAUAUACUUGCAUAUAAUUGUCUCUUGCAUUCACUGGUUUAAAUUUGAGAAAAGAGAUCAUCACUCUAUUCACCCCCCUUUAGGGUGAUUACCAUAGGUUGGAUUAGCCUAAUAUUUCUAGCAUAAACUAUAAUUUUUAUUACCAUAAUUAAUGACUAUGGUUUAACCUUAAACUUAAAACCAAGGUCAGUGAUUAUAGUUUUAACAUAAUUUUUUUAAAAAAAAUAAUAAAAUAUAUGUUAAUGAAGAACUAGUUUGAUGAAUAUUUUUAAAAGUAAUCUAAAUUUGGAAUUUCUUUUUCUUGAAAAAAAUUAAUUUUGUGGCAAAUUAUGAAUUUUAAAGAGUAAAAAAUUUUAAAUUAGUUUAAAAAAUUAUUUUUAAAAACUUGUAACAGAUCCAAAACUGCCUUGACACCGACGUUAUACAAAUGUAGGCAUUAAGCCCACAAAUUAAUAAAAUUUGAUAUUUUUAUUUUUAGGGCUACAUUUGGUCCCAGAAAAUACUAAGGAAAGAAAAAAAAAAUGUAAAGGAAAAUGAUUUUUUCAUAUUUGGUUGUCCUAUAAAAAAUAUCAAAGAAAAUCAAAUAUAAUUUAAACUAAUUAAAAAUUUAUGUAUUUUUAAAUUAUUUAAUUUUUAUAUUGAUGAGUUAAAAAAAAUAAAUUGAGUUUAAAGUAACAAAAAAAUAAUUUAUCAACUUUUAAUCUUUUUUAUUUAUUUUUCUCUAUUUUUUCUUUCCUUCUAUUUUUCUUUUGUAUUUUUUUUUUUUUUUUUUGCAUUUUCCUUCAAAUUUUAUGGAACCAAACAUAGCCCAGAGUGGGAUCAAAAUCCAUAACAUAAAAGAUAUUCUCAUGUGGGUCAGGCUUGGACCUAGAGACAGGUCGAAGUAGCAUCUUGUAAAAUCCAUGAGGUAAAACAUAUGAUUAAAAAUCAAUUAAAAUGGGCCAAGGGCCCCAUAACAGAGCCCAUUAGAUACGUGGCACAACAUCGAUGCGCUGUGUAAACCUAUAGAUGACAGGGUCACAGAGUUGCCCCUUGGAACAUCUAACCCUAGGUGCCGUAUAUUCCAUUUUGAAAAUAUAAAAAAAGUUGACUCAACCACGGUUUGCCUGCAUCUAACCAUGGUCGUCAACGUGUCCGAUCUCUUUGAAAGAACUAGGGUUAGGGUUAGGGUUCGAUCCGAUUGCGACCAAUGGAGAUGGAAAGUGUGACUGAGUUUCCUCAUACUCACAUGGAUCGGCGUCCUCGGAAGAGGCCUAGGUUUGCUUGGGAUGCACCUCAACUUCACCCUAAGGUAAAACUCGAAACCUUUUUGGCUGCUUUUGGUUGCCCAGAAUUGGAGUUCCCAUAUUUGGAUUCGGAUUUUGUGCAACCAAACGCAGCUUUGUAUCAUGAUUGUCCUUUUUUUAAAAUUAGAAAUGUUCCAAAUACAUUUUUUAAAAAUAAUUUAUCCAGUAUAUAUAUAUACACAUUCAUAGAAUCUUUUUGAAAUUUAAAAAAUAUUUAAUAAAUCAACAUAAUAACUUCAGAAAUUAAUAUAUUGUAAUGAUUAAAUUUAGGUUAUUAAGUAUAUUUAGUAUUAUAAUUUAAAAUCAAAAUUAAUUUUUGACAAGAAAACUUAAUGACUUAAUAUAACUUAAUAAUUUAAACAUAAAAUUACUUUAAAUUAUUAUUAAGUAUUAUGUUUUAUGAAAUUCUAAUUGACUUAUUUUUCUUGGCAUAUAAGUGUAAACAUAAUUUUCUUGAUUUCAAAAGAAAACACGACAUAGCCUUCAUGUUGGUAGUGGGAGCAAAGACAACAUAAGAAUUUUUGGACUGUUUGACGAUAUUUCAUUAUAUUUGUUUUUAAAAAUUAUGUUUAAGUUAAAGAAUGAAAAGUAAACUUUUGAUGUUUUCUAAAAGGAAAAAUGUUUUACAAUUAAUUUUGAAGUGCAUUCUAUAUAUAUAUAUAUAUAUAUAUAUAUAUAUAUAUAUAUAUAUAUAUAUAUAUAUAUAUAUAUAAAAGGGAAAAAAACAGGUUUGAAUAAAUUGUUCUUAAAAACAAAUUUUUAUUUUGAUUUUAAAAAUGUUGUUAAUCAAUUUAUAUGAUUUAAACUAUAUUUAAUUUAAGUCUUAUUAAAAAUAAAAAUUAAUUUGUUAUUAUAAAUAAAUUUAAAAAUAUAUAGUUUUUAGUAAAAUAUGAAUAUGAAUAUUAUAGUGAAAUCAUAAAUUGUUUUAUAUAUAUAUAAAAAAAAAUGAUAUUGCCGCUAUAACAAAUAUGAUGUUUUAAAAAUAUAUAGAUUUUAGUAAAAUAUGAAUACUAAUAUCAUAAUGAAAUCAUAAAUUGUAUUUUUUUUUCAUAAAAAAUGAUAUUAUAUAUUUUUGUAGUUAAUUAUGAAGAUAUGGAUAUUAAUAUCUUUAUAUAAUACAAUUAUUUUUUUUUAAAUUUAAUUUCUUUUAAUUUGAAAAAAAAAAUCAUAACAUAGAUAAAUUUAGUAACAUAUUUUGAAGAAUUAAUUUUUAAAUUUUCAAAUUAUUUUUUAAAAUUAGAAUAUUUAUUAUUAAGUCUCACUUGAUUUGGUUUCACUUAAUUCAAAAUUGAGUUGUCGAGUAAGAAAAUUUAAAAUAAACAAUAAAAUUAUGAUGUAUUAUAUAUCAUAUUUGGUCUAUUAUUUUUUAUAGUGAUUAAAUAUAUUUUUAAGUUUCAAAUCAUUUUUAAAAAUUAUUAAAUGUUAUAAUAAAUUUAAUAUAUUAAGUCUUGUUUGAUCUGAAAUUUAUUUGUCAAUAAUAAAAUUUAUAAAAAUAUAAUUAUGUGUAAAAAAACAAUAAUAAAAUUAUUCUAGACCAAUUCUUGUAAAUGGAUUUUUGUUAUAAAGUGUAUUAUAUUUUUAGUUGUAAUCAUUUUUCUCAAUUCAUAAACUUGUUAAUAAAUCCAAUGCAUUCAAAUCUACUUGUUUAAUAAAAAAUUUAUGAAAGUAUAGUUUAAAAGUGCAAAAUAGAGUCAUUUUUUUAUCCAUAAAUUUAUAGUAUUAAUUGGUUGAUUAUUUGAGUUUUAAAUUAUUUUUAAAAAUUACUAAAUUCUUUAAUAAAUCUAACGCAUUGAGUUUUAUUUGAUUUUGAGUUUAUUUACCUAAUUAAAAAAUUCACAACAUAUACUUAUAUGUAAGGAAAAAACUAACAAAGUCAUUUACAAUGAAUUUUGAUCUAUCAGUUUCUAAUGGUACUUGAAUUAGUUUUAAAUUGCAUAACUUUCUAGUACUAACUAGAUUAGUUCUUGAGUUCCAAAUUAUCUUCAAGUUUCAAAUUAUUAGUUCUAGCUUAGUUUUUGAGUUUCAAAUUAUUUUUAAAUAAAAUUAUUUCUAAAAAUGAUUAAAUUGUAUGCAUCAAAUAUCAUUUUAUUUGAGGUCUCAUUGUCUAAUAAUUUUUUUUUUUAAAGAAGUAGAAAGAAAUUUGAAAAAAUAAUUAUAAUUAAAAAAGAUAUCAUAUUUGAAGAUUUUAUAUAUAUAUAUAUAUAUAUAUAGUGAUUGGUGAAGAGAAAAUAAAAUGAGAAAAAGAGAUUGUGUUAUUUUUUUUAAUUAUUUUUUUAAGUUCUCCAAAUUUUCCGUUUAUUUUAAAAAAAAAACCAUUAAAAUAAUUUUUAUUUGUUUUCUACAAACUAUUCUUCAUUCCACUUUAAUUUUUAAAAAUUGUUUCCAAAUUGUUACCAAUGAAAAUGUUAUUAAUUUAAAAAAGCAAUUUCUUACCUUUAAAAAUAAAAUUUUAUUUUUAAAUCAUAACAAAAACACAUUAAAUUAUAAGAGUCAUAAACGACAAUGUUGAUAAGAAUCGCAAUCCUUUACUUUUUUUUUCUUUUUUGGCAUCAAUUUCACAAGACAUAUCGUCCUUAUUUCCCUAUGUUAACUAAGAAACAAAAAAUCACUUUACUUAUGAGUAAAGUCCUCCUCAAGAGAUGACCUUAAGAACCAACCUUUCCCACUUUGUGUUGAAAAGAAACCUUUAACAACUUUUGAUAAGUUGUGACACAAAUUAGGCUAUAAUGGUGGUAGAAGGUUGUCCUGAUACUGAAUUUGGCAUUAUGUACAAAAUGAGGUAAAAGAAUGACAAAAAAAUUGAACAUAAUUGAAAAAAAGAGGAAGAAUGCCCGUAAAAAACUAGUAAGUACCAAAGGGAAAUAGGGUCCUCCUCAUCAAUCGUAUCACUCUCUGCAUCUACCAAACUGCAAAAAUCCAUCUUUGCAUAUUGAAAGUGAUGGAGUAAAGCAGAAUUAUUCAUGAAGAAUUUUAACUUCUUCACUAAUAUCUUGAUAAAAAUGGUAAUUAUAUUUGUAUCAUCUACAUGGUAAUUAAUAUUUAUUUUAAUAUCUCACUUUAUCAUAAAUUGCAGAGGUUUUCACUUUCUUUUUAUUUUACACCCCUUAUUAUUUUAUUUUUAAAUAAAAAAGACAUGAGAAACUACACAUUUGUAAUUAGAAAUGAAAAUGAAAAUUAAAAAUUAUUUUUACAUUUUUUUUCAAACUAAUUUUAUUUAUUUUUUUCACCUUUGUAAAGAUUAAAAAUAUAUAAAAAAAUUGAGUAAUUUUAUCUAUAUUUAUUUUUUUGUAUUUUUUUUAGAGUAAAUCAAAUAUGAAAGGUAAAUGAUUUUUUUUCUUAGUACUAUCUUAAACUAAGCGUUGCUAUGCAUGGUAAGUUAUUAAAAUGAUGAUAAUGCCUUAUAAGAAGAAAGGCAACAAAAUUUUUCCCUUUUUCUUUUUCUAAUUUUCCUCAAUUUUUAUUCUCAUUUCUUUGGCGCAAGCUGUUUACAAUCCAAACGAAAUUGAACCUUCCAUGGAAAAGGAAAAAAAAAUAAAACAAAAUAAGAAGCACAAUCAAAUUUCAAAUUUUUUUUCCAUGAAAUAAAUUUCCUUUUUUUUUUAACAUUUUUCAUGGAAGAAACGAUAAAAAUGUUGGGAAAAAAACUAUUCAAAACUAAUUUAUUUUUAAUUUCAAAAACCUAAUUUAUUUUACCUUUUCUUCCUAUUUUUUUUCCCUCUGAUUUUUCUUUAAAACAUUUACGAGAACAAAGCAUAAUCAACCAAACAUAGCCUACACGUUUCCUAUGUCAUUUUCCCAGGAAAAAGGACUGGUGUUUAAUCUCCAUACUCCACUUAUUUUCAUUAAUUUAUCAGCAACUUAAAGUUUUCGUGGGACAAAUACAAAGAAUAUCAAGAACGAUUCCUCUUAUCACCGGUAUUGUUAACAGUGAUGGAGAAUUGGCACAAGGUUCAGAGCGAACUUCUUACGGACAGUAAGACCUGCUGCUUCUUCCAUGUUAAUAUCUGCCUCCCUCAUCCCAUUCGGCAAGUUCCAAUUGAAACGAUAUAAAAGAUUGGCAAGUGCGAGCUCCACUGUUGCAAUCACCAUAUACAUACCCGGGCAAAUUCUUCUACCCGCUCCGAAAGGCAGUAGCUCAAAAUGUUGUCCUCUAAAAUCUACAGAGUUGUCCAUAAACCUCUCGGGCAGAAACUCCUCUGGGUUCUUCCAGAGGUUGGGGUCUCGCCCAAUAGCCCAAACGUUUACUUGGACUUGGGUUUUCGGGUAAAUGUGGUAUCCGUUUAUCUCAAAAUGUGACAUGGUUUCUCUUGGAAGUAGAAGUGGGACGGGAGGAUGUAGUCUCAAAGUUUCUUUGACCACCAUCUUGAGGUAGUGAAGCUGAUCGACAUCACCCUCCGUGACUUUUCCUUUAUUUCCAAUGGAGUUUCUAACUUCAACCUGGGCUUUUUUCAUUAUUCUUGGGUUCCUAGCAAGCUCGGUCAUUGCCCAAGUUAGGGUGAUUGCACCAGUGUCCACUCCAGCCAAGAAUAAAUCCUGAGGCACAUGUUAAAAGUAGGCAAAAGAACACUUUAGUUCCAAUAAGUAUACCAAGCUAAGCAUUAUGCCAUUCUUGGUUCAAAGAAACCAAGACGCAAAGUCAAAUUAAAUGAUAAUCGAUUGGCCCUUUUGUAGAUAGCUCCAAGGCACUCUACGUAACUGCUCCUGCCUCCCGUCUCUCUCUUCCACAUUUCCAUUUACAUCAUUAAUAGAACUUAUCAAGUAUUUUAUGACACGAGAUCUGACCAUAACUACAUUAAAACUUAACAAUGUAAAGUGUGUUGAGUUAUCUAAGUGUGAGCUUAGGAAAUGUGAUAUUAAGCUUCCCAAAUGGGGACCUGAUCUAUCAUUCAUCCUUUAAAUAGCUAAGAGUUGAAACAACAAACUCAAAAAAGAAACGAAAAAAAAUGAGACGGAUCAAAGGAGUAGGUUGGUGGCUUACCAUGAGGAUUGCUUUUGCACUAUCUUUAGUAAACUGUACAGCACCGGAUUCAGACCGUUCCCUCUGUAUUUUCAGCAGCACGUCGAUAAUGUCUUCAUGCUCCUCUUUCACCCUUCCUGGGUUGAGAUGGUCCUCAAUCACCCGUUGGUAGAAACCGUCCAUUUCAAGGAAACUCCUCUCAAGCCUUCCAUGAAGACCAGUGAGUCUAUCCACAAUCCGACCCACGUACGGAAAGAAAUCGGCUGCAGUGAACCCGCCCAACAAAGCCAUGGCUUCACGAACCACUUCUUGAAAUCUUCCGUCACCAAACUCACUCACUUGAAAACUCUUUCCGAAUGCAAUCCUGCAAAUUAUAUUUGCAGUGAGAGACAUUAACCUCUCGGUAAGAUCAAUAGGACUUCCAGAAGAAGAUGAUUCCGCAAUUGAAUCAAUCAGCAAAGCGACCUCCUCUUCUCUGAUGAACUGAAACGACUGCAGCCUUUUUGUGCUAAACACCUCAUGAACACAGAUCUUGCGUACCUCCCUCCAGUAAUCGCCGUAUGGCGCAAAACCUAUGUCUUGGUGAUUGUAUGAGAAUUUUCCAAGUCCAACUAAGGGAGGUCGACUGCAACAAUCAAUAUCAUGAGUUUUCAAGAAUUCCCUUGCAGCUUCCGCAGAGGAGACUACGACGGUAGGGACACCGAGCUGAAGGAGUAUGAUGGGGCCAUAUUUCUUAGAUAGUUGCCACCAAGAGUAGUGAGGCAACGUACCAAGUUGGUGCAAAUUACCUAUAAUGGGAAGCUUAGUAGGGCCAGGCGGCAGCGGCUUCUUUUGCCCCUUCAACUCUAUUCUCCGUUUUAUGAGAUACAUAAGAGGGAGAAGCAGCAGAAGCAGAUGAAGCCACAUCGAUGGGGAAUAGAGUGCCAUAGGAACUUGCUAGCUCUAUUAAUCUUAGGUGGGUUGUAGAUACACUACAAAAAGAUACUUUUAUAGUUGCGGUCCUAUCCUGCAGCUAAAAUUAACAAAAAAUUGUGACCAUAUAAAAUUUAGAUAGGGAUAAAAUAGAGCAAAGCUUAGUCAUAGACCAUAGAGGGUGCAGACAAAUCCUAUGGCUGUAGCCACUUAUAUAAAACUGCCAGUAGAAGAAGUUAAAAAUUAUUAAUAGGCUAUACAGGGUUGCAGUUUUCUCUUGGCUGCUACCAUAAGGCUCAUAGGAUGCACUUUUCUUGGCCCCUACUAUAGCUAAUUUAUGUGGACAUAAUUUAUUCACUACUAUAGAUCUUUAUUUUUAUUUAUUUAUUUUUUUCAAUGCCUUUUCCUAUUUAUCAAUUAAAAUAUUUUCAAGAGGAAAACCAAUAUCCGAACACAUUUACACACACACAAUUGCCAAUACUUUCAACGUUAAUUGAAAAUAGAAAAUGCAAAAGACUUUGAUGAGCUGUUUUGCUGAACCACUGGCAAAAAGUAGUAAGCGAGCACUUGUGAGCAUCAAUUGCAAGGUAGGCACUUGCCAUUUCUCACCAGCCUGAGAUGCACUCACAAAUGGUUUUUGGUGUGUGCAGGAUGAGCCAUCACUCUAAUGCUAGAAGGCAUUCUUGAGGUUUCUCACCACCAUGUCCUUUCCUCUUUCAGUUCGGUGUCCCGCUGAUCUGAUCUUCAGACAACACCAAGGUUCAGUCUGCGAAGUAAGGGACUCACCAAUGUUUCCUUCAAACAAGACAAAAAGAAACGGAAAUGGAUCAUUCUGCCUUUUCAUUUGUGUUUCUACGUAUGACUCGUGGUGAUCACCUGAUGGAAUUUGAUCAUUCAGCGAAUCUCAUCGAAAACGGUUUCACAGUUCAGGGGAUUAUUGGUAACUUUGGAAUUAAAGUCUAUUAUUUUAAGCCCUUUCAGUAUUUAUAGUCAAAGCAAAAGAUGAAAGGAACAACAUGAUAUCUUCAGCUUCAGCUUUUACUUUUGCUCUUGACAAGGCUGAAACUGAUCCUGGAAUCAAAACUCACAUACACAAGUAGAUAUUUAACAGGAAAGGAUCCAAAUCCCUUCAAUUGAUUAAUGUAUAAAUGAAUCAUAUUGAUUGUUUGAAGUGACAACAAAAUUCUGGAAGAGGAGAAAGUUUGACACUGGAGAGCAACAAAAUGACAAGACCAUAAAUAAAUUUAACACCAAGUGCUACUGCCCCAAGAUAUCUAUGAUGCAUCUCUGAAAAAUUCAGAUAAUGGUCAAGAAGGCAGGCUCAUGGGACUAUCAAAUAACCAUUUGAUUUAAGAUUAAAAUAUUUUUCAUAUUUAGGCUCCAAGAAAAUUAAAAUAAAUGAAUAAAUCGUGAUGAUAAUUAAUAAAUAAAGAAAUAGAAAAUCAUCCAUAAAAUGUUAUUUGCAAAUAUUUCACAAAUUGAAAAAUUCUAUGCAAUUUGAACGAUUACUUGGUGAUCAUGCCGAAGUAAGCAAUGAGAAACUAUAUGUAAACUACUAAACAAAAAUAGAAACAGAACCUGCUAAGUAGAAACAAGUGUUUUCCGCUAGGAAACACAGGCCAAAAGAAAAAAGGGGAAAUGAUUCAAAAAUCAAUUACGAAAUAAGUGAUGUAGAGGCAAAAGGGACCUAAUGGGCCUCAUAUGCAUAUCCUUGGAAACAAAAAAUUUAUCUUUCUACAUAGUCUAAUGAUAAACAACAUAUUCACCCACCUCUCAUAGGAGGUGGGGCAGUUGUAUAUUGUCUCCACAUACACCAAACCUGUUUCUUGAUCACUAGAAUAAAUAGGAGGCAAUUAAUCAAGGCAGGUAAUGCAAAUCCAGACAAUAGAGUAAGACUGGAAGAUAGAGCAUACAUGUAAUUGAGAAAAGUGUUGUAGUUCUUGUCCACCUGAAUGCCAGCUAUUCAAGUACGGUAGAUGUUGGCCUUCAUCUCUAAAUUAUAAACAGAAAUGAGAUGGUGUUUGCUCUUCUUCUCCUACAAUGGACCUAGUUGUUUAAGAGACAUGGAGAUAGCUAGAUUUGGUAUAUACAGCUGUGUUUGGUUUUGUCUAAAUGGAAGUAAGAUAAGUCAAUGAGAUUUUCUAGAUAACAAUUGUUUUUCUUGGUGUUUUGAAUACAUUUCCUAUAUCAUAUAAGCUGAGUAAAAAUCUAGAAGAAGAAAGCCAACAAAAUUAUGUUGUACAAGUUGAUGCUACAUUUGGAUAUUAUUGCUUUAACGAUAAGUUUUGUUGUAAUAAUUAUUUCCUAACGAGAUGGGUAGGACUCCAGUUUGAACAUUGGGCUCUACCAACCCAACAUCAAGUCCAUGGGCAACUCGGGUCUCUAUGGGUUCUUAUAGGUUUUCGCAUCAUACCAAGAAAGUAAUUAUUUUAAAAUUUAUAUCAUGUAAAUCAUAUUAUCAAAAAAAAUGUUAAAACUAAUCUAUUUCGUAAUUAUUUUUAAAAACAGUUCUAGAAAACAAUUUUUAACAACUAUUCUUUGAUGUUUUAUAAAGUAAAAAUUUGUUUAAAUAUCUAAAAUAAAUUUUAAAAUAUGUUUUUUUUUAAUUUAAAUAUGUUUUUAAAAUAAUUUUUAUAUUUAAUAUUUUAUUUUUAAUCAUUCUACAUAUUUAUAUAAUUAUUUAAAAAAAAAUUGAAAACAAUUAAAAAAUAUUAUUUAAAAACACAAUAAAAAAUAAAAAAUAAAAACAAAUUUCUAAUUACCAAGUGUGUUCUCAAGAACAUAAAACUAUUUUUGAAAACAUAUACCCAAAAAACCCUAAAUAACUCAAAAUCAUAAAAUAUAUGUGUUAGUUUCUAAUUUAACAUAAAUAAUAAUCCAUAAAUUCAAAUUUCAAAGACCAAAGUUAAUUUAACAAUUAAAAAAAGUAAUAAAUCCAUUAAUCUAAAAUAAUUAAUAAAAAGCAAUAAGUCACUUCCUAUGAUAACUAAAAAGUGAUAAAUAUAAUUUAAUUUUAAAUAAUAAUAAUAACAAAUAAAUAAACAAUAAUCACCUUUAACAUAUGACAAAUUUUACUCUAAAAAGAGCAUUUGAUGAAACUAAAAUUAAAUUAUAUUUAAGUUGUUAAAUUAAAACUUAUUAUUUAAUUUUCAUUUUAAAUAUUAAAAUUUUUUGAUAAAAUUAUUUUAAAAUUUAUUUUAAAUCAUCAAAUUAACAUAUUUAUCCUCAUAAAUUAUAAUUAGGGUAAAGAAAGUCAAAUAAUAAUAAAGGUUGUGGAGUAACGAAAAAAAUCAUAGAGAUAAUUAAGAUAAAUCAUAAUAAAAAAAUAAUAAUAAAGAUGUAAACUUAAUAAUAAUUAAUUGUUUUUAUUUAUUAUUUAAAAUUAUUUUUUAUUUUAAGUUAUUUUAUCAAUUAUAUUUAAUGUAUUUAAUUACUUAUAAGUUGUAACUCGUAACACAGACACCCACUAAAUGGGAUUUUUGAUAAAAGUAUGACAGUUUUAAAAAAUUAUUCCUAAAUUACCGUAGUAGAAAAAAUAAUUCCAAAUUUAUGGUAAUUUUGUUCAAAUAGAAAAGAGAAAAUAAUUUGUAAAUGAAAAAUAGUCUCUUCAAAAAAUAAGUAAAUCGUAUCUUGAGAAAUGGUUUUUUAAAAAAGUGAGACAUCCUCUUUUAAAGAGACGAUUUAAAAAAAUAAUAAUAAAAAAAUUAAAACAAGUGAGAAAUUGUAUCAUUAAGAGGCACGAUUUCCAAAUAUAUAUAUAUAUAAUUCUCACAAAAAAAAAAAAAAGGAAAAAAACAAACAAGAUUUUGUCUCUUCAAAACACGAUUUCCACACAAAAAGUGAUUAAAAAAACCCCAAGUGGGCAGCACAAAAGUGAGAAGAGAGUAUUUUGGCCUUUCCAAGCUUGAAAAAGAGCACCCAACUAGGCUUUUCGUCUACAUUGGUAAUACGUUGAAUGCAAGUGUUAGGAAUGGGUUUCGAGGAUUUUGGUUGAUUUGUUUUGUAAGGGUAGUUUGAUACCAGAGCUUCAGGAUCCAGGGACUUGGAAGAAGUUGAUGAAGAGGUUGAGGAAGGAUGGGAGGAUUAUGGUUAAUGUUGGAGGGAGUUGUGUUGAGGCAAAGGAUUCAAGGAGAGAUGGGAAGGUGGUAAUGGAGGAAUCAUUGAAGGCAAUGCAUAAGGUCUUUGGUGAUCAGUCUUUGUUUUGAAUCUCGGAAACAGGAAGGAGGAUAGCUCCAUUGCUCUCACCGGCAAAUUGUCGGAUCUUGAUGACUGGAAGAAAGUUCUUCCCUAAUCUUUAAGGUUUUAUGUGGAUGUGGAUGUGGACGCCCGUCAGUUCCAAGUGUGACUGUUUCCAUUAACCACUCUCUGAGAAGAAGCAUUCAGGAGCAGUCUACUGAUGCAAUUCAUAUAUUUGUGUUUAUUCCUGUUAGAAGCAAUGUUUUUUUUUUCCCCGGAUUGUGCAAAGCUUAUUUAUGAGGUUUGAAUUUUUCCCCCACCUAAAAUCAUCCUCUCUUUUGUCUCUUUGUUCUCGAUUGGUUCAUUAGGGCAUCUAAGUAGUAAGGGAGUCAUAUGAUUGUAAAAUAGAUUUAUAAUAUAUUUUUAUAUUAAAUUAUAUUAAUUUUUUUAUAAUAUAUAAAUAAUUAAUUGUAUUAUAAUAUAUAUUAAAUUUUAUUUUUUUUAUUUUUUAAAUUAUCUCUUGAACAGACAAUCUCCAAUUGUUUAAUUUAAAUUAUUUUUUGGAAAUCGUGCUCUUUUCUUCAAAAUGAAAUUUCUCAUUCUUAGUAAUUUGGAAAGAGAUUUUUUUUUUUAAAAAAAAAAAGGGUCAUAAAUUUGAAGAGACUAUUUAAAAAAAUAUAUAUCUCUCCCUCCUACCUAACAAAAUCUAUCAUAGAUUUGAAAUUAUUUUUUUUAUUAUGGUAAUUUAAAAAUUAUUUUUUAAAAUUACGGUACUCUUGUCAAAAAUCCCCCUACCAUUCUAAGUUGACCGGUCGGUUUAAGUCAUGGGUCCUAUUUUCUUGCCUUCUCCUAUUGCAGCAUUGCACCACGUGACAUCUCCUUUUCUUUCUACCAGGUCCUUUUCCUAUCUGCAACGAUUUUCAUCAAUUUCAAUUUGGCCACAGAUAGUGCAAACAUUUUAAUAUUUUUAUUCUUUUUAUAUGGGAGAGAAAAGGGGAGAAAUAAAUUAAAUAAGUAUGUAAAAAUAAAUAAAUUUAAACUUCUUUUUAUUUUUCUACUUUUCUUUUCUUGUUAACAGUGAUGGAGAAUUGGCACAAGGUUAAGAGCAAACUUCUUACGGACAGUAAGGCCUGCUGCUUCUUCCAUGCUAAUAUCUGUCUCCUUCAUCCCAUUCGGCAAGUUCCAAUUGAAACGAUAUAAAAGAUUAGCAAGUGCGAGCUCCACUGUUGCAAUCGCCAUAUACAUACCCGGGCAAAUUCUUCUUCCCGCUCCGAAAGGCAGUAGCUCAAAAUGUUGUCCUCUAAAAUCUACAGAGUUGUCCAUAAACCUCUCGGGCAAAAACUCCUCUGGGUUCUUCCAGAGGUUGGGGUCUCGCCCAAUUGCCCAAACGUUUACGUGGACUUGGGUUUUCGGGUAAAAGUGGUAUCCGUUUAUCUCAAAAUGUGACAUGGUUUCUCUUGGAAGUAGAAGUGGGGCGGGAGGAUGCAGUCUCAAAGUUUCUUUGACCACCAUCUUGAGGUAGUGAAGCUGAUCGACAUCACCCUCCGUGACUUUUCCUUUAUUUCCAAUGGAGUUUCUAACUUCAGCCUGGGCUUUUUUCAUUAUUCUUGGGUUCCUAGCAAGCUCGGUCAUUGCCCAAGAUACGGUGAUUGCACCAGUGUCCACUCCAGCCAAGAAUAAAUCCUGAGGCACAUGUUAAAAGUAAGCAAAAGAACGCUUUAGUUCCAAGUAUACCAAGCUAAGCAUUAUGCCAUUCUUGGCUCAAAGAACCCAAGACGCAAAGUCAAAUUAAAUGAUUAUCGAUUGCCCCUUUUGUAGAUAGCUCCAAGGCAUUCUACGUAAUUUUGCGCCUUCCUCCUCCUCCGUCUCUCUCUUUCAAUGCUUUCAUAAUCAAACCAAGUCUUUAAAUAAAAAAAAAUAUUGGUUCAUAAAUUACCGGUCAAACCAGUAGGUAAACCACGAUGUAACGGGUAACAUUAUAAAUAUAUUAUUACAUAUUAUUAAAAUUAAAAAUAAUUAUAAAAAAUUAUAUAUAUAAUAUUUAAAUGUGAAUAUAUUAAAAAUGAAAGAAAAAUUAUUUAUUUAAUUUUAAUUAAUUUUAUAAUUUUAGAAAAUAUUAUAUGUUUUAUUUAAUAUUAUAAAUUUUUUUAGUAAAGAAUAUAUUUUUUUUGUUUGCCACAUGAAGGAACAAGUCGGAUGUAGUGGGGUGGUCUCUUAACUCAUUUAACGAGUUUAAGGUCCCAGCCCCUUUAAUGAUAUAAAUUGAGGGUGGGGAACUGGGCUUUAAUGAUAAAAAGGGAGGGAGGCAGAGGGAGGUGGACUCGGCCUGUUUCAACGAAUAAAAAGGGGUUACAUUGAGCUAUUAUUAAGCUUUCAAAAUGGGGAGAAACUCAAAAAAGAAAAAAGAAAAAAAUGAGACGGAAAAAAGGAGUAGGUUGGUGACUUACCAUAACGAUUGCUUUCGCGUUAUCUUUAGUAAACUGUAGGGCACUGGAUUCAGAUUGUUCCCUCUCUAUUCUCAGCAGCACGUCGAUGAUGUCUUCAUGCUCCUCUUUCACCCUUCCUGGGUUGAGAUGGUCUUCGAUCACCUGUUGGUAGAAGCCGUCCAUUUCAUGGAAACUCCUCUCAAGCCUUCCAUGAAGACCAGUGAGUCUAUCCACAAUCCGACCCACGUACGGAAAGAAAUCGGCUGCAGUGAGCCCGCCCAACAAAGCCAUGGCUUCAUGAACCACUUCUUGAAAUCUUCCGUCACCAAACUCACUCGCUUGAAAACUCUUUCCGAAUGCAAUCCUACAAAUUAUAUUUGCUGUGAGAGACAUUAGCCUCUCGGUAAGAUCAAUAGGACUUCCAGAAGAAGACGAUUGCACAAUUGAAUCAAUCAGCAAAGCGACCUCCUCUUCUCUGAUGAACUGAAACGACUGCACCCUUUUUGUGCUAAACACCUCGAGAACACAGAUCUUGCGUACCUCCCUCCAGUAGUCGCCGUAUGGCGCAAAAGAUAUGUCUCGGUGAUUGUAUGAGAAUUUUCCAAGUCCAACUAAGGGAGGUCGACUGCAACAAUCAAUAUCAUGAGUUUUCAAGAAUUCCCUUGCAGCUUCCGCAGAGGAGACUACGACGGUAGGGACACCGAGCUGAAGGAGCAUGAUGGAGCCAUAUUUCUUAGAUAGUUGCCAUAAAGAGUAGUGAGGCAACGCACCAAGUUGGUGCAAAUUACCUAUAAUGGGAAGCUUAGUAGGGCCAGGAGGCAGCGGCUUCUUUUGCCCCGUCAACUCUAUUUUCCGUUUUAUGAGAAACAUUAGAGGGAGAAGUAGCAGAAGCAGAUGAAGCCACAUUGAUGGGGAAUAGAGCUCCAUUGGAGCUUGCUCGCUCUAUGAAUCUUGGGUGGGAUGUACUUAGGAUACACAUAUAUCAUCG
rnacentral:lncRNA from 1 species